UUGCUUUUCAAUAGCAAGCUUUAAGUAUGGCAAUGGGGUUUUGGCAUGACACAAUGCAUAAUUCUUAUGUUUCUCCUUGUAAAAUUCCCCUAUGUUCAUCAUUUCCAGCUGAUCCUCCCAAGAAAUUUUGCUCUUGGCUCCCAUUUUGUAAGUACAAUGAAGCCGAUGCCAAUAGUUUGUGAUUAUGUAGCUUGGUACAAUAGCUAUGGUAUGGUUUUCCAACCUUGGGAAAUAACUGAAACAAUAUUGAUUUGCUUAAAGGCAGCCAGUUUAACAGGCACCAUGGUCAAGAUUCUAGUAGCUUUCUAAGUUCUGGUCUUCAUGUUUUGGGUUUUUUUCCAGUUUAUCUGCCACGUAUGUAACUUUAUUAAAAAGAAGGGAAAGGACAAUAUGCUGUUUAAAGAUAUUUUUUUUUUUUUUUUUACAUGUGAUUUCAGAAUGGAAAGUUUGGAGCUGUUAGUGUCAUGAACUAUUUCAAAUAUUUUUUAAGAAAUGCUGCUCUUCUGUUUCCUGAGAUGGUGGCUUAGCCUGAUAUACCAGAGUCACUUGACGAGGUUUGAUUUGGAAGUGAACUGCAGCAAGUGAGGAAAAAUGGGGUGGAAGUUACUAAAGGAACUUUUUGAAAGAACUGCCUGCUGCGUCCGCGUGGUGUAACUCCUACCUGGUUUGCUCUGACUUCUGACCAGGAGGAGAGGUUGAUGAUACAGAAUGGCAGCAUGGCUCUCUAGGGCAGCUUUAACAGCUAUUCAGACUUGAGCUCCACAUCUUAAUCUCCGAGCUGCCUAAGGAUGGCUCAGCUCUUAAGGACUUGCAUAAAUGAAAACAGCUUAACACUGAAGAGAAUCACUGCUACUGAAAAUUCACAUCCGCUUGAGCUAUCAUAUAAACUAUCGGUGGAAACAUGAACACUCCAGCACUGGUUAUGAAGUUAUGGUUUACUCAAAAAAUUCUCUCCAAACUGGAGGUGGCAUUUUCUUCCUUACUACAGAUUAAAACCAUGUCAUGUUGAGAGAUAAAAAUGCAAGCCAUUGAUGUGUAUCAUUCAACUAAAGCUAUACUGAACCUAUGCUUACAUUUGAAAAAAAUCACAAACUUAAAAAGAAAUCCUUUAUAUGGGAUAUAAAUACAGAAAAGGUCAGGCCUAAAGAAAGUGAAGUAGUGAGCAAAUGCUAAACAGAACUGAAAUUUGAUUUUAACAAUAUAAUUUUCUAUUUGCUGUAAUACAUGGAUAAACACAGAACAGGUAUCAAAAAAGUAGCAAGUAGGGCUGUAAACUGCUAACAGCUUAAUAUAUUACUAUGAAAUUCCAGCUACACACUUUGUAUAAAUAAAUAAUGAUUCAGCUAAACCAAGAUUAAAGGCUCUACACAAUUCUUGCUAAAGUAGAUUGUACCUCAGUAUUUUAAUGCUGUUAGCAGAAUUUUGUUGUUUACCAUAUUAAUUUCUUCAAACAUGAUUAAUGUCACAUUUCUGCAAUCAUGAAAAGACUUCCAGAGUCUUUAUGUACAUACUACUUCCAACAGGCAAAAAAAGGGGGAGAUAAACUUAGUUUGAAUAAAUGAAUGAAGACACUUUUACAAAUGACGAUAAACAUGACUUUUAAAUUAUUAGGCCUUUCUGCACCAUGUGGUAGAGCAAAACACUGUUGAAAUCUAGGUUAAAAAAAGGCAGUGUGAAAAACAUACUGAUUGGACAUCUCUAACGCUUUCAAGUUUCUUGUGUGCUAAGAUAAGUGAGUCCUAGAAUAUAACAGUGAGUAUCUUAGGAUUUCAGAUUGAUGUACAAGUGGUGACUAAUUCUUGUCUUUUAUCUGUACGCAUAACAUGAACACAAGCAUUUAAUCAACAAAAAGUAAAUACUAGUAUCUUUAUCACAAAACAUUGUCAAUUUAUUUAUAAAGUUUAUAAGAUUUGAAUUAUACAAUGAAAAAAUUUUGAACCAUAGGUAUCAGUAUUUCCCAGUCAGAAGUGAAAUCUUUGUUUAUAGAGUUCUUUCCAGGUGUAGACACCUAAAUCCACUUGAAUGAUUUUGCCUUGUGAAUUGGGAAUUAACUUUUCCCUGUACACUGAAAGGUUUUACUCCUAGCAUUUGAUCACUCCAAAUUAGCUAUUGAGAGAGAAGUUGUGUAAAUUAUAUAUUUAAUAAAUUAAAUAGGAAACGUUUGAUUAGAGGGGGCAAGAGCUAUAUUUCACCUAGACCAUCAUAGUUCAGAAGACUCCAGGGUCUUUUAAGGAUGCCAUAUGAGCAAGGUACAACUGUGCCCCAAUUUAUGAACUAUAACAUCCAUGUUCUUUUUAAGUUGUUGGGGUUUUUUUGUUCACUUUAACUAACUGGUUUCAGAUAAAUUCUCUUAGAAGUUUAGCAUAUAUUAAAAAUCACUGUUAAAAACUCUA